rnacentral:lncRNA from 1 species
CUUUCCACAUGAGACCAUGAGAAUGAAUGUAUACCUAACUUGUUUGUUUACAGCUCUACAAAGUAGCUAGAUUUUAAUUUAAUUUAAUUCAUGAAAUCCAUUUUGAGCCUUGUCAUUCACCAUCAUUUUGUGAUUUGUCCCUCAGCCUUCUUCAUCUUGCUCGUUUGAUGGAAGUUUGAAAUCAGAGAGCAGUGACUCAGAGCCAAGAUGGCCAGAGGUUCCUCCUGUGCUUAACCAGAAUGAGGAUCGGAGAAGAAACAAGUACCUGAGAAAAGACUACCUGAAGUAUAAGUGCCAAAGUGCUCGAAGAAACUCCAGUGGCAACGACAAUGAUUGUGAGGUGAGACUUUGUGCUGUGACUGUCUACGUGCCAAGAUUCUCCUUGCAUGAAUAUUUAUUAGAGGCCAGCUGAGUCACAUCACCACAGUAGAGCAACUCCACAAUUAAAGGGGUCAUGAAAUGCAGUUUUAGUUCUUCAUAAUAUUUCCCAAGGUCUGUUUAUAAAAAAAGGG